GGCAGUGCUGCUCAGUGGGCAGGGUACCAGACUGGGAGUCAGGGGACCUAGGUUCUUUUCCCAGCUCUGCUA
rnacentral:tRNA from 1 species